CUCACCGGAAACGCGCUAGGCGGAGGGCACCACGUGACAGCGCCUGCCGGCCGCGUCUUAAAGGGGCAACGCAGGCGGCCGGAAAAGGUGUGUCCCGGCCCGGCCCCGUCUUAAAGGGGCAACGCAGGAGGUGGGAAAAGGAGAACUGAGCCGAAAUGUGGGCAAAGCCCCUCACGGGGGAAGGAGCAGCCGCUCCCUGACCCCCUUGCUGGCUCUGGGCCUCGUCUUGCCCCUGCUUUUGCAGAGAUGGGAGUCAAAGCCAAUGGUGACCCGUGAUUCGCACCGACGUCCGCCGGGGAAGCACAUCUCAGGGGGGAAACACGGGUGUUCUCUCCCCGUCCACGUGCUUUCCCUGUGGGUGCCCCUGGGAUAAGCUGCACCUUUGGGCACAACCACAAAUCCAGGUCUCCAGCAGCUUCGUGGCCUGUUGGGAAAACAAAACCGUCCCUUCGCUCCCUGGCUGUUGGCCUUGCUCACGCUCGGAGCACCGAACCCAGCCGGAGCAGUCAGACCUCAGCCCCCUCCGCUGCCGCUUCGGAGCUACGGCUUCCCUGGGGGGUCCCCGCUCCCACGGCGGGAGCCGUUCCCCCCCCCCGUCUGGUCCCUUCAUCACCCCAACGGGCCCCACGUGCUCGGGGUCAGGCUCUGAGCUCCUGCUCCCCCGGGACUCUGAGUUUUUUUCCCUUUGAGGGUGCUCCAGAGAAGAGGCUGCACCCCUGGGGGGGCCACCCCUGCGACAGCUGCUCCCCACCAAGCCUGGGCUGAUGGAAACCUCCCAUUCCCUUUGUUUUCCCCACUCUGGGAGCAUAGAAAGCCAUCGCUGGCUGGUGAUUAAGCUCACUGAGGUAAUGAGCCAAGGAAAUGAAGGUGUGGAGGGGUUGGGGAGGCAGCACAGGUUUGUUUCUUUUUUGGGGGGAGGAUGUAAUUUAAGCAGGAAAUCACCGAGGCCAUGGCUCGGAUCAGCUCUGGACUCUGCGGAUGCUCCAGCCCCACCACACGCACCAAGGAAAUCCUGGAGAAAACCCCCAAAGCCACAUCUGGGGGGUGGGAGGUUAAAGAUGAAUUAACGGGAAUUAAAGAUGCCGGACGAGGGGAAAGGGAAGAGGAAGAAAUUCAGCCUCAUUUCCCAGCAGACAGGGUUUUGGUUGCUGGGUUCAGAGUAUUUAAUGCUUACCUGGGGAUUUUUCUGCUAGCAAAUUACCCUAACGAAGCCGGCGUGACUUUGGCAGGACACCUACGCGUGUUCCCUGAUCCAGCCUGGCUGCGGACGGGGAGGGAGGAGAAAAGCAGACCAGUCAGCUCAUUUACAAAGGGAAAAACCCCAUCGUCGAGCAGCCCAAAGCUCCCGGCUCCCAUCCACCUCGGAAGCCAAACUUCUGCAUUUAACUCCACCCGGGUCCGGUGGCGUUGCAGGAUCCUGAGACCCCCCGGGCCGAGGGCUCCCGGGCUGGGGUGGGGGAGCUCCAGUCUGAGGGACCCUCCAUCCACAGGGAAAAAUGGGGCCAAAUCUCUGUCCCACCACUAGCUCCGUGCAAAGGCAUCCCAGGACGUUUCAUGCCUGUUAAUUGCCAGAAGGUGCAAAACCAUCGGGUUUUGCUCUUGCCUCCCCUGCAGCGGGGAGGAGGGUGCUGGGGGACGGGCUGGAGCAACACCCCGCACCGGCGGAACGCCCCGCGGUGCCACCUCCCUGCCUGCAAGGCUCUCAAAAAGCCAGGCGUCCGGUCCUGGUGGCACAGGAGCAGCAGCACGACGUGGGAACUGCUGGGAAUAAUGUUCCUUGAUAGAAGGAAAAGAGCCGCCCAGCAAAGAGGGGCUGCCGUGGGUCGGGGUCUUACCUCGACAGGGGGUCAAGAUCCCCCCUGAAUCCUGAGUUCCCCCAGUAUGAGAGCCUGGGGUGACAGGGGCACCACGCAGCAUCCGCUUCGGGAGGAGCUGGCUCACGCCGAGGAUGGUGCACGAGCGGGGUCGGGGUCUUUGGAGCAGCCGGAGCUGGGGGACGAGUCCCUGGAGCCGCCCCGAGCUCGGGUGAUGGGCACAGGGCUGAGUGCCGGGACUGGGGGGUUGCAUAAAUGGGGUUAUUUCCACGUCAUAGGAGGAAGGAACAUGUUUGAUGAGGUUUCCACGUACCGCCUGAACCCAUAAACAU